UAGGGAAUCUUCCACAAUGGACGCAAGUCUGAUGGAGCAACGCCGCGUGAGUGAAGAAGGCUUUCGGGUCGUAAAACUCUGUUAUUGAAGAAGAACGUGUGUGACAGUAACUGGUCAUGCAGUGACGGUAUUCAAUCAGAAAGUCACGGCUAACUACGUGUCAGCAGCCGCGGUAAUACGUAGGUGGCAAGCGUUGUCCGGAUUUAUUGGGCGUAAAGCGAGUGCAGGCGGUCUUUUAAGUCUGAUGUGAAAGCCUUCGGCUUAACCGAAGAAGGGCAUCGGAAACUGGGAGACUUGAGUGCAGAAGAGGAGAGUGGAACUCCAUGUGUAGCGGUGAAAUGCGUAGAUAUAUGGAAGAACACCAGUGGCGAAGGCGGCUCUCUGGUCUGUAACUGACGCUGAGGCUCGAAAGCGUGGGUAGCAAACAGGAUUAGAUACCCUGGUAGUCCACGCCGU
rnacentral:rRNA from 1 species